rnacentral:rRNA from 1 species
UUUUCCUACGGGGGGCAGCAGUCGGGAAUAUUGCGCAAUGGAGGAAACUCUGACGCAGUGACGCCGCGUACAGGAAGAAGGUCUUCGGAUUGUAAACUAUUGUCGUUAGGGAAGAAAAAGGACAGUACCUAAGGAGGAAGCUCCGGCUAACUACGUGCCAGCAGCCGCGGUAAUACGUAGGGAGCAAGCGUUAUCCGGAUUUAUUGGGUGUAAAGGGUGCGUAGACGGGAAUUUAAGUUAGUUGUGAAAUCCCUCGGCUCAACUGAGGAACUGCAACUAAAACUGGAUUUCUUGAGUGCUGGAGA